GGAGAACAGUUUUAUCAGUAUUAUGAACACAGAGGAGAGUGGGGGAGGCAAAUGAGGUCAUAAAGGAAGGUCUCCCAGAGGAGGCAAAAUAGUUGAGCUGCAUCUUGAAGGUCAAGUAUGCAUUACACAGAUCAAUAAGGACAUAAGAGAGACAGUAAUAAUUUGCAUGAAUCAGAGAGCUGUGUGUGGCCCAGUAUUCUUUGUAAAAAUUAGGACAUUCUCAGUAAAAGGAGAAGAUAACAAUCAGCUUUACCUUCAGAAUGAGACUACAAGGAACAUACUCUAGGGGAAAAGAAGAGAGACAGCUGGUUCCCACUGUACCUUCAGAGAGUGCUCAGAAGCCCAGGAAAGGAAGUUUCAUUGUUGAAUUGUUUGGGCAGUGGUGAAGCCGCCUGUGCAAAAUUAUGACUGAGACAGUGAAAGAGAUCUAACUUAAUCGACUCCAUCUUGCUUCUAACCUCCUUGCUGUCCUUAUUCAUUCCUGGGUGUAGGCGGAACUAACUUUGGGAGAAACUUACAGUUUAUAGUUUAAAACAAGGAUGAUAAUAGCCCUUUCCCACAGCAGACCUCCUUCUUGCCUGGUGACUAGAUUGCCUUUGUAGGACUAACAUUAGCCGCAAGAUUAGAAAUUAUAGUUAAGAGUCAUGCAGCUGGAGGCUACAAGAUUCUGACCCUCCCUAAACUUCUCCUAAAAUCAGUGCUUGAGAUAUUCUGCAGACCCUGCACUUGAUGGGUCAGCUGGCACCACCCAGAUCAAUAAACUGGCUCAUCUGAUCUGGUGCCUCCCAUCCAGGAACUGACUGUGCAAGAAGACAGCUUCGACUCCCUGUGGUUUCAUUCCUGACCAAUCAGCACUCCUGGCUCACUGGCUUCCCCCCGACCCGCCAAGUUGUCCUUAAAAACUCUGAUCCCCAAAUGCUUGGGGAGACUGAUUUGAG
rnacentral:lncRNA from 1 species